rnacentral:rRNA from 1 species
GUAGGGAAUAUUGGGCAAUGGAGGCAACUCUGACCCAGCCAUGCCGCGUGCAGGAUGACGGCCCUCUGGGUUGUAAACUGCUUUUAUACGGGAAGAAAAAAUACUACGUGUAGUAUACUGACGGUACCGUAAGAAUAAGGAUCGGCUAACUCCGUGCCAGCAGCCGCGGUAAUACGGAGGAUCCAAGCGUUGUCCGGAUUUAUUGGGUUUAAAGGGUGCGUAGGCGGAUCUUUAAGUCAGUGGUGAAAGCCUGCAGCUUAACUGUAGAAUUGACAUUGAAACUGAAGAUCUUGAAUGUGGUUAAAGUAGGCGGAAUGUAUCAUGUAGCGGUGAAAUGCUUAGAUAUGAUACAGAACACCGAUAGCGAAGGCAGCUUGCUGAACCAUUAUUGACGCUGAGGCACGAAAGCGUGGGGAGCGAACAGGAUUAGAAACCCGAGUAGUCC